GAAAAGCCCUUACAUUAAUGGCCCGUACCGUAAACCGACACAGGUGGAUGGGUAGAAUAUACCAAGGCGCAAGAGUGAAACCUGGUCAAGGAACUCGGCAAAAUAGCCCCGUAACUUCGGAAGAAGGGGUGCCCCCUCUGGGGGGCCGCAGUGAAAUGGCCCAACCGACUGUUUAGCAAAAACACAGCAUUGUGCUAAGGCGUAAGCCGACGUAUACGAUGUGACACGUGACCAAUGCCAAAAGAUUACGGUAAGAUGUUAGCACUUUAGUGCGAAGCUUCGAGCCCAAGUCCUGGUGAAUGUCGGCCGUAACUAUAACGGUCCUAAGGUAGCGAAAUUCCUUGUCGGGUAAGUUCCGACCUGCACGAAUCGUGCAACGAGUUGGGCGCUGUCUCGACCAGGUGCUCAGUGAAAUUGUAGUUCCGGUGAAGAUGCCGGACACCCGCAGAAGGACGGAAAGACCCUAUAGACCUUAACUGUAAGCUGUUAUUGGUUGUUCGAUCUUAAUGCUCAGCAUAAGUGGGAGACAUUGAAGGGUGCGUUUAGGCGCAUCUGGAGUCAUCAGUGAGAUACCACCCUUUAAUAUUGGAUAAUCUAACCCCGAGCCGUCAUCCGGCCGUGGGGACAAUGGCAGCCGGUCAGUUUUACUGGGGCGGUAUCCUCCUAAAGAGUAACGGAGGAGCGCGAAGGUGGGCUCAGCACAGUUGGCAACUGUGUGUUGAGUGUAAAGGCACAAGCCCGCCUAACUGUGAGACCUACAAGUCGAGCAGAUACGAAAGUAGGCCUUAGUGAUCCGGCGGUAGAAUGUGGAAUUGCCGUCGCUCAACGGAUAAAAGGUACCUUAGGGAUAACAGGCUUAUCACGCCCAAGAGUUCAUAUCGACGGCGUGGUUUGGCACCUCGAUGUCGGCUCGUCGCAUCCUGGGGCUGGAGAAGGUCCCAAGGGUCCGGCUGUUCGCCGGUUAAAGCGGCACGCGAGCUGGGUUCAGAACGUCGCGAGACAGUUCGGUCCUCUAUCCUCUGUGGGCGUAGGAAAAUUGAAGGGUUCAGACCUUAGUACGAGAGGACCGGGUUUGACGCACCUCUGGUGUUCCAGUUGUUCUGUCAAGGGCACUGCUGGGUAGCUAAGUGCGGAACGGAUAAGCGCUGAAAGCAUCUAAGCGCCAAGCCAUUCCUGAGAUAAAUUUUCCCUGAAGGAUCGUGGAAGACGACCACGUUGAUAGGCUGGGGGUAGAAGUGCAGCAAUGUAUGUAGCUCACCAGUACUAAUCAUCCGUUCGACUUAAUUCC
rnacentral:rRNA from 1 species